rnacentral:rRNA from 1 species
GACGUAGGGUGCGAGCGUUGUCCGGAUUUAUUGGGCGUAAAGAGCUCGUAGGCGGCUCGUCGCGUCGACCGUGAAAACCCGCGGCUUAACUGCGGGCUUGCGGUUGAUACGGGCGGGCUAGAGUUCGGUAGGGGAGACUGGAAUUCCUGGUGUAGCGGUGAAAUGCGUAGAUAUCGGGAGGAACACCGGUGGCGAAGGCGGCGACCUGGGUAGAUACUGACGCUGAGGUGCGAAAGCGUGGGGAGCAAACAGG